AUGAAGUGAAGUGAAGUGAAGUCGCUCAGCUGUGCCCGACUCUCUGCGACCCCGUGGACUGUACUCUGCCAAGCUCCUCUGUCCAUGGGACUUUCGCAAGAAUACUGGUGUGGGCUGCCAUUUCCUUCCCCACGCCUCAGUUUUCUCGUCUGUAAAAUGGGAGUCAUAUUACAUAUUCAAGAGGAUGCUACAAGAAUUGCUAAGAGGCUUCCCCUGUGGCUCAGACGGGAAAGAAACCAUCUGCAGUGCGGGAGACCUGGCUUCGAUCUCUGAGCUGGGAAGGUCCCUUGGAGGAGGGGAUGGCGACCCACUCCAGUAUCCAUGCCUGGAGAAUCUCAUGGACAGAGGAGCCUGGUGGGCUGCCGUCUAUGGGGUCAGAAAGAGUCAGACACGACUGAGUGACUGAGCACGCCUGCAUGGAAAGCAGUCAGCCUACACCUGGGCAGGCAUCCUUUCCAGGGAUGGAGCUCCCACAGAACAAGCCUGGAC